CUGUCAUUGCCAUGGGAACAUGCCCUGUGUAGAUGCUGGUUCUAGAAUGCAGAGACCCAAAGAGCAGGCUUGAAUCUGACUCUCAGCCUGAAGCAGAGGCUCUUAGCCAAGCCCUGCUUAGACUGCCUAAACCACAGCCAACCUGCAGACCCAUGAGUGUGGCAAUACGUAUGUAUGACUCAAGCACACGCCAGUGUCUGUGGGGAUGUGAUCCUGACAUCCUGCCAGAAACCAGUUCCCUUCACCGAACCAAGUUGCCGACUUUCCCCCGGAAUGGCAAAGUUGUUUCUUUGAAACGCUUCCAGCACCUGGCUUAAUAGACCUUCCUGUGAGCAUAUUCCCAGUUCCGCACUGCUCCCCAGUGACUGGGGACCUUUUGUCAAGCACAUAUGAAAUUAAGUGAAAUAAAAAUCAUAUUAAAAAUUAUUACCAUCUAACAGCCAUUAGUCUGCACACUGCUGUCAGCCUGUGAUGGAUUCCUCACUUACUUCAAUGAAUGUUCUAACGACAGUGAUAAAAUCACUCAGAAAAAAUAGAAUAAACUGUUAACCCUCUCCCCAUCGACACUUGUUUUUCUUUGAGAAAAAUACAAUAAGAGCUCCUGGUAGAAGAGAUUGAG
rnacentral:lncRNA from 1 species